rnacentral:rRNA from 1 species
CAGUAGUCACGUAGUUGAUCAUCGGCUACAGAACGAACGCUGGCGGCAUGCCUAACACAUGCAAGUCGAACGAGACCUUCGGGUCUAGUGGCGCACGGGUGCGUAACGCGUGGGAAUUUGCCUCGGGGUACGGAAUAACUCAGGGAAACUGAAGCUAAUACCGGAUGAUGACGUAAGUCCAAAGAUUUAUCGCCUAAGGAUGAGCCCGCGUUGGAUUAGCUAGUUGGUGAGGUAAAGGCUCACCAAGGCGACGAUCCAUAGCUGGUCUGAGAGGAUGAUCAGCCACACUGGGACUGAGACACGGCCCAGACUCCUACGGGAGGCAGCAGUGGGGAAUAUUGGACAAUGGGCGAAAGCCUGAUCCAGCAAUGCCGCGUGAGUGAUGAAGGCCUUAGGGUUGUAAAGCUCUUUUACCCGGGAUGAUAAUGACAGUACCGGGAGAAUAAGCUCCGGCUAACUCCGUG